GGGCUACGCUCCAGGGCUGCUCCGGCCAUGGCCACAGUGGAUGCUGAGAAUAUUCUAUGCAUUUGCAGUCUGAUGACUUCUGAAGUUGCUUCCACCUUACAGACAAGAUCGAAACUGCCAUCUGUCAUAUAAUUCAAUGGUUACAAAAGUAUUAUUUAUUUAAAACACCCUCAGAUCCCAUGUUUCCUGUUAACCCAGAGCGGUUUGCAACCAUGAACACAGAUCAAGGACCAAAAUUAAAAACAUCCAGCAGCAACUGUUGGUACAUUA